CGACGCAUCGCGGGAGAGCCGGAGUCAUCCGGCACCGAAGGAGCAAGCCUCCCCGCCAAUCUCUCAGGUCACCACACCGCGAUGACGAG
rnacentral:ncRNA from 2 species